AACACUUCGUGUUUGUUCAACAGUGUUGUAAAGAAGCGAUAUUUGCAAAACUCUGGACCGCAGGUGUCUAUGGUGGGGAACGAACGCGCUAUUGUCCUUUCCGGGGUGUAACGCGCUCACCACCACACCCUGCGGGUCGUUCGUUUCGCCUGUCUCUCAGGCUAGUUCUAUCGAUCUUUUUGCCAUCAGCAAUCACCCAACUGCGGAAUUGAUCCGGGGAGCACAAAUCGGCAAUUAACCCAGUUAAGCUGAGGCCCCAGUUAUAAUCACAAUCUUAACCGUUUUUUUUUGCUUACUGCCUACUCUUUUUAAUGGCAGGGUAUAUUGCGAAAUACAACUUUAAUGAGAGGUGCGCGCGAGAGGUGAAAUUCGUGGACCGCAGGGGGACGCCCUAAAGCGAAAGCAUUUGCCAAGAAUGUCUUCAUUAAUCAAGAACGAAAGUCAGAGGUUCGAAGGCGAUUAGAUACCGCCCUAGUUCUGACCGUAAACUAUGCCAUCUAGCGAUCCGAUGUGGUAUUGCUGCCUUGUCGAGGAGCUUCCCGGAAACGAAUGUACAAUCCCG
rnacentral:ncRNA from 1 species